GAUGAACGCUAGCGGCAGGCCUAACACAUGCAAGUCGAGGGAGAAGCCUAUCGGGGCAGAAACCGGCGCACGGGUGCGUAACGCGUAUGCAACCUACCUUUCACAGGGGGAUAGCCCGAAGAAAUUUGGAUUAAUACCCCAUAAUAUUGUUGGAUGGCAUCAUCUGAUAAUUAAAACUGCGGUGGUGAAAGAUGGGCAUGCGUCCUAUUAGCUAGUUGGAGUGGUAACGGCACCCCAAGGCUACGAUAGGUAGGGGUCCUGAGAGGGAGAUCCCCCACACUGGUACUGAGACAGGGACCAGACUCCUACGGGAGGCAGCAGUGAGGAAUAUUGGUCAAUGGUCGGAAGACUGAACCAGCCAUGCCGCGUGCAGGAAGAAUGCCUUAUGGGUUGUAAACCGCUUUUAUAUGGGAAGAAUAAGGUGUACGUGUACAUUGAUGACGGUACCAUAUGAAUAAGCAUCGGCUAACUCCGUG
rnacentral:rRNA from 1 species